AAAGGUAUAGCUCAGUGGUAGAGCACAUGCUUAGCAUGCACGAGGUCCUGGGUUCAAUCCCCCGUACCGCCA
rnacentral:tRNA from 1 species